rnacentral:rRNA from 1 species
AGAGUUUGAUCCUGGCUCAGAAUCAACGCUGGCGGCGUGCCUAACGCAUGCAAGUCGAACGAGAAAGGGGAGCAAUCCCCAAGUAAAGUGGCGACCGGGUGAGUAACACGUGACUAACCUACCCUCGAGUGUGGAAUAACAUCGGGAAACCGAUGCUAAUACCGCAUAACAUCGCAAGAUCAAAGGAGCAAUCCGCUUGAGGAGGGGGGUCGCGGCUGAUUAGCUAGUUGGCGGGGUAACGGCCCACCAAGGCGAAGAUCGGUAGCCGGCCUGAGAGGGCGCACGGCCACACUGGAACUGAAACACGGUCCAGACUCCUACGGGAGGCAGCAGUGGGGAAUUUUGCGCAAUGGGGGAAACCCUGACGCAGCAACGCCGCGUGGAGGAUGAAGCCCCUUGGGGCGUAAACUCCUUUCGACCAAGACGAUAAUGACGGUA